CCUACGGGGGACUGCAGUGGGGAAUAUUGCACAAUGGGGGAAACCCUGAUGCAGCGACGCCGCGUGAGCGAUGAAGGAUUUCGGUAUGUAAAGCUCUAUCAGCAGGGAAGAAAAUGACGGUACCUGACUAAGAAGCCCCGGCUAACGACGUGCCAGCAGCCGCGGUAAUACGUAGGGGGCAAGCGUUAUCCGGAUUUACGGGGUGUAAAGGGAGCGUAGACGGCUGUGCAAGCCAGAUGUGAAAGCCCGGGGCUCACCCCCGGGACGGAAUGUGGAACGGUGUGGCUGUCGUGUCGGAGAGGCAGGCGGAAUUCCUAGUGUAGCGGUGCACUUCGUAGCUCUUAGGAGGCACACCAGUGGCG
rnacentral:rRNA from 1 species